GAAGCAGCACCCCUUGUAGAUCUCAUAAAGUUCAACUCAUCCCAUAAUUUUUUCAAUUUGUUAAAAUAAGAUGCAAUAUCUAAAGACCCCUGAGUAGUAGAAGCUAAUUGUGGUUUGACUUCAAAGAGUUUUGUACCAUCAACUGACCCAUAUCUCUUGUUGAGUUGAAUCCAAAUACUCUGAGCAGUGUCAGAGUAUUGGACACUCUCUGCUAUCUCAGGACUAAGAGAAUUUGNNNN
rnacentral:lncRNA from 1 species